ACAAACGCGGCGGAACCGGUUGCGGGGAGGUUGCUUGAAUUCUCUCAGCUGCGCCCCCUGACCUAGUAGUCGCUGGCACAAGCUGCGCCCGGAGACGUGGGAGCGUUCUCUUGUUUUCCGAGUGCGCGGACUCAUCGGGUCACAGUUUAUGCUUUUAUGACGCGGGAACACAACAGAUUUGAGAAGCCUCGGAUUAAGGAAUAAUUUAUGAAGCUCCGUUGACUACCGUGGAGAGAUCAUAAUUUGGGGUUCAAGAUUCCAGUCUGUGUUUUUCCAGAGGUGCCCUGAGGAGCAGGGAAGCAUGGCUAUUGUGGAUGUAAAAGCCAUGUUCAAGAUAUGCUGUCUAGAUAUGAGACCAAGGAGUUAACUCUUAAGAAUGGCACUUUUGAAAAGGAAUCAUUAAAAUGGAAAAUAAUAGAAAGUGUCAGAAGUUCUUGCCUUGAGGAAUCUUUUUUGGGAAAUGAUUGGAAAUGCAAAGGACUCUUUGAGAGACAACAGGAAACUACAGAGGAAUAUUUCAGGCAUGUAACUGUGCCAUUUGAAAAAAUAUCCGAAUUCAUCCAGCCUACAUAUUUUCUUCUAAAUCAAAUAAUUCAUACUGGAAAGAAACUCUAUGAACAAAAAAAAAAAUGAGAAAAUGUUACUCAACAGGGAAGAAUUCAUAUCAGUGACAAGCUUGACGAAAUGUGUGGGAACACCUCUGUAUUUUGCACAAAUCAUAUGAAACAUCAGACAAAUUUUAAUGCAAAGAAAUGCAAUGUAUUUAAAGAAUGUGGCAGAGACUGCUUGUAACUUUCAACUAACUCAAUAUCAAAUAAGUCAUGCUAAUCAGAAACCCUAUGAAUGUCAGAUAUGUGGAAAGCCCUUUAGAAAGCGUGCCCACCUUACCCAACAUAAUCGAAUUCACACUGGUGGGAAACCAUAUGAAUGCAAAGAAUGUGGGAAAGUGUUUAUCUGUUGUUCAACAUUGAUUCAACAUAAGAGAACUCACACUAGUGAGAAACCCUAUGAAUGUCUGGAAUGUAGAAAGACGUUUAGGCGGAGUGCACAUCUUAUUCGACAUCAAAGAAUUCAUACUGGUGAGAAACCUUAUAAAUGUAAGCAAUGUUGGAAGGCCUUUGCUUCUGUUUCUGAUUUAAUAGACAUCGGAAAAUUCACACUGAUGAGAGACUUUACGAAUGUACAGAAUGUGGGAAGGCAUUUAACAAUCGCUCAACUCUUAUUCAGCAUCAGAGAAUUCACACUGGUGAGAAGUCCUUUGAAUGUAAGGAAUGUGGCAAAGCAUUCAAUAAUUGCUCAACACUUACUCAACACCAGAGAACUCAUACUAAUGAGAAAUCUUAUGAAUGUCAGGAAUGUAAAAAGGCUUUUAGGCAAAGUGCACAUCUUACUCAACAUCAAAGAAUUCAUACUGGUGAGAAACCAUAUGAGUGUAAGUAAUGUGGGAAGGCUUUCACUUGUGUUUCUGAUUUUAAUAGACAUCAGAGAAUUCACACUGGUGAAAAACCCUAUGAAUGUAAAGAAUGUGGUAGAGCUUUUAACAAUUGUUCAGCUCUUAUUCAACACCAGAGAAUUCACACUGGUGAGAAGGCUUAUGAAUAUAAGCAGUGUGGGAAGGUUUUUGUCUCCUGUCCAACACUUGUUCAACAUCAGAGAACACAUACUAAUGAAAAACCUUAUGAAUGUCAGUAAUGCAAGAAGGCCUUCAAGCAUAAUGCACAUCUAAUGAGACAUCAGAGAAUUCACAGUGGGGAGAAACCCUAUGAAUGUAAUGAAUGUGGGAAUGCCUUCAUUUGUUUUUUUGAUUUUAAUAGACAUCAGAGAAUUCACAAAGGAGAGAAACCCUAUCAGUGUAAAGAAUGUGGGAAGGUUUUUAAUAAUUAUCCAACUCUUACUCAACAUCAAAGAAUUCAUACCAGUGUGAAACCCUAUGAAUGUAAGGAAUGUGUAAAGACCUUUACUUGGCUUUCAAACUUGAAUAAACAUCAGACAAUUCACACUGGUGACAAACCCUAUGAAUGUAAAGAUUGUAAAAAAGCUUUUCUUUGUUAUUCAACAUUUAUUCAACACUAUAGAACUCAUACUAAUGAGAAACCUAUGAAUGUCAGGAAUGCAGCAAGGCCUUUAAGCAGAGAGCCCAUCUUAGUCAACAUCAAAAUAUUCAUACUGGUGAGAAACCCUAUGAGUUUAAGGAAUGUGGGAAGGCCUUUGCUUGUUUCCUACCUUAAUAGAAAUCAGAGAAUUCACACUAGUGAGAAACCGUAUCAGUGUAAAAAAUGUAGAAAAUCCUUUAUUGAUUGUUCAACUCUUAACACCAGAGAAUUCACACUGGUGAGAAACCCUUUGAAUGUCAGGAAUGUAGGAAGGCCUUUAGGCAGAGGGCGCAUCUUACUCAACAUCAAAGAAUUCCUACUGGUGAGAAACCCUAUGAAUGUAAUGAAUGUGAGAAGGCCUCUUCUUGUCUUUCAUAGGUGAAAAAGCACCAGAGAAUACAUACAUGAAGGGACAAAUCUUAUGUAUUUGAAUAGCGUCUUUUUAUUUAACAAUCCUUAUCUAACAUCACCAAAUUCACAUUGCAGAGAAACUUCAGAAAUAUAAGAAAUGUGGGAAACACUUUUACCUGUCCCUCAGCUAUACUUUUUCAUAACAGAAUUUGUACAGGUGAGAAGCCUAAUGAAAGCCCGAUAUGUGUAAAGAUCUACUCUCACAAUAUACUCAACAUUAUAUAAUGUAUAGUGUGAUUAAUAUAGGAAAUCCUUGAUUUUGAAAUUAUCAAUUAUGGAAUAGCAAACAAUUUGUAAGUGAAGAAAAUCCAGUGACUGUAAAUUUUUUUACCUCAUAAUUCACAAUUUAUUAAGCAUCAGAAUUUAUAUGGAAAAAAUAGAAUAUCAAUUAUUAAUAAAAACAUUACCACUAAAAUUUUAUUUGACUUAUAGAGAAUAGCAUAUAGAGAAUAAUCAUGUUGACUUUGUGAAUGUAGAAAAGCUUUUAUCUAUUACACGAAUCUUUUUCAGCAUCAUUAUACUUUCACCAGUUUCCACGUCUGUUUUAUUACCAAGUAAUUUAAACUGUAUACUUCAGAUUACAAAUUUCUUACAUUGUGAUAAGGUUAUUGUGAAGAUUAAAUGAGUUUAUCCAAA
ensembl:lncRNA ZNF781 zinc finger protein 781